GAUGUUUCUCAGCAUCAGUCAUCCCAGGAAACGUCCAGUACAGCUAACAGUGACGCUCCACCCAACACAGCAAGGGCGAGGACCACGGUCAGGCCGGACUAUGAGCGCCAGAGCAGCGGGAACUGCACCAUGACAGCUCUUGACGAUGUGCCCUUCGUGAUCUCUGAGAAGUUUUAUGGAAAUCCCAAAGAG